rnacentral:rRNA from 1 species
UUAAUGGCCGCAGUAUAUUAACUGUGCAAAGGUAGCAUAAUCAUUAGUUUUUUAAUUGAAAGCUUGUAUGAAUGGUUUGAUGAAAUAUAAACUUUUUGUUUUAAUUAUAAUUGAAUUUUAUUUUUUAGUUAAAAAGCUAAAAUUUAUAUAUAAGACGAGAAGACCCUAUAGAUUUUUAUAUUUAUAAUAUUUUAUUUAUAUAGUUAAAUUAAAAUAUAAUAAUUUAUAAUAUUUUAUUGGGGUGAUAGUAAAAUUUAAUAAACUUUUAUAUAUUUUUGUUACAUUAAUUAGUGAAUUUUUGAUCCAUUAUUAAUGAUUAUUAAAUUAAAUUACCUUAGGGAUAACAGCGUAAUUUUUUUAGAGAGUUCUUAUCGAUAAAAAAGAUUGCGACCUCGAUGUUGAAUUAAAAUUUAUUAUAGGCGCAGUAGUUUAAUAAUAAAGUCUGUUCGACU